GGGGGGUCACCAUGGCUCGGACUCGGAGGGGGUGGUACCGGGGCUACCACAGGAGGCGGAAGUCCCGUCGAGCUCGAGGGCCACUGGGGACGUAAGCUGUACAGCGCGAGUGUGGCACCGCCACCCCCGCCGCCUCAUCAUCAUCCGCGAGCACCGUUGGUUUUCGCGCCUCAAGAUAUGAGGCAGAUACUGAAGGAGGAACCUGUGCCACGUGCUUGGCCGCAACCCGCGCUCGCUGACAACGGAACAGUUGGCGUGGGCCGGGCGCAUUUCGAGAAACAACCACCGAGUAACCUGAGGAAGAGCAAUUUUUUCCAUUUCGUAAUCGCCCUUUAUGAUCGACAUGGUCAACCUAUUGAGAUCGAAAGGACGUCAUUCAUGGGCUUCGUCGAAAAGGAUCAGGAGUCUGAAGGCCAAAAGACGAACAAUGGUAUUCAGUACAGUCUACAUCUGCUCUAUUCUAAUGGUGUCAGGCAAGUGCAGGAUAUCUAUGUCAGGCUAAUAGACUCUGCGACAAAACAAGCAAUCAUGUACGAGGGACAAGACAAAAAUCCGGAAAUGUGUCGUGUUCUAUUAACGCACGAAGUCAUGUGCAGCCGAUGCUGCGAUAAGAAGAGCUGCGGUAACAGGAACGAAACGCCCAGCGAUCCUGUCAUUAUCGAUCGAUUCUUCCUCAAGUUCUUUCUCAAGUGUAACCAAAACUGCCUCAAGAACGCUGGCAAUCCACGUGACAUGAGACGGUUCCAGGUGGUCAUAUCUACGCAAGUGGGAGUGGAAGGACCAUUACUAGCGGUCUCGGACAAUAUGUUCGUCCAUAACAACAGCAAGCACGGGCGCAGGGCGAAACGUUUGGACCCUAGUGAUCCUAGCGAGUACAAUAGUUUAUAUCCGCCAAUACCUCUCCAAACACCGUGCAUAAAAGCGAUAUCGCCCAAUGAAGGUUGGACGUCGGGUGGAUCUACCGUCAUAAUCAUUGGAGAAAAUUUCUUCGAUGGAUUACAAGUAGUGUUUGGAUCAAUGCUAGUUUGGAGCGAGUUUAUCACUCCACACGCGAUUAAGGUGCAGGCACCAGCGCGACAAAUACCUGGAGUCGUUGACGUUACGUUACAUUACAAAAGCAAGCAAUUCUGUAAAGGAGCGCCUGGUAGAUUUGUCUAUGUUUCGGUAAACGAACCUACGAUCGACUACGGCUUCCAAAGGUUACAGAAACUCGUUCCGCGGCACCCCGGUGACCCUGAAAAGCUUCCGAAGGAGAUAGUACUGAAGAGGGCAGCGGAUCUAGCGGAAGCCAUUUAUAGUAUGCCUAAAAGCGGAAACAUGGGGAUUGCGGGAGCACCCAGAAGUCCAGGUUCGGUGCAUGCACCCGCUCCCCCCACAUCCAGUUCAGCAACAGCCUUUAAUUCGUAUACGGGACAACUUGCAGUGACGGUGCAGGAAAACGGUAGCGCGGCAAAAUGGACGGACGACGGUAGUUCCGUGACGACAGGAGCUGCUGCUGACGGUGGAGGCGGCAGCGGCGGCGGUGGCGGUAGCGGUGGUAGCGUCGGAACCAACGUCGGCGGUAGCGCCGAUGCCUAUAGACAAAGCAGCAGCGCAAGUCCACGUGGUGUCGUAACUAGUGGUGGUUAUUGCGGUAGUUCAGCCAGCACACCACACAGUCACAGUACUAACGGAAGUUAUUCUGUCGCCAAUCCGUAUACCGGCAGUCCAACUCUCUACACCUCACCGCACGAACAAUACGGCAUAUUCUAUACAUCCGGGGACGGGAGUGCAUUCGCUCCCGUAGUACGACCACCGACCACCUCAGUCCCACCGCACUGGCCCACACAGCACCUCGCCACAGCCGCCCAGUAACCGCUAACCGUCCACCAUCACCACCAACACCACCAUCAUCACCACCACCAUCACCCUUCGCACUGUGAUUAAAGAAUGAGAGACGACAUUUGAGAAUUGGGUAUGUUGCAGGACUAGGAGAGGUGGUCGGAUCACCAUUCAAUAUGAACCCAUUUAUGUUGCCCACCUGCAAU
rnacentral:misc_RNA from 1 species